rnacentral:rRNA from 1 species
UGUGUGUUAGUGGAAGCGUCUGGAAAGGCGCGCGAUACAGGGUGACAGCCCCGUACACAAAAAUGCACAUGCUGUGAGCUCGAUGAGUAGGGCGGGACACGUGGUAUCCUGUCUGAAUAUGGGGGGACCAUCCUCCAAGGCUAAAUACUCCUGACUGACCGAUAGUGAACCAGUACCGUGAGGGAAAGGCGAAAAGAACCCCGGCGAGGGGAGUGAAAAAGAACCUGAAACCGUGUACGUACAAGCAGUGGGAGCACGCUUAGGCGUGUGACUGCGUACCUUUUGUAUAAUGGGUCAGCGACUUAUAUUCUGUAGCAAGGUUAACCGAAUAGGGGAGCCGAAGGGAAACCGAGUCUUAACUGGGCGUUAAGUUGCAGGGUAUAGACCCGAAACCCGGUGAUCUAGCCAUGGGCAGGUUGAAGGUUGGGUAACACUAACUGGAGGACCGAACCGACUAAUGUUGAAAAAUUAGCGGAUGACUUGUGGCUGGGGGUGAAAGGCCAAUCAAACCGGGAGAUAGCUGGUUCUCCCCGAAAGCUAUUUAGGUAGCGCCUCGUGAACUCAUCUCCGGGGGUAGAGCACUGUUUCGGCAAGGGGGUCAUCCCGACUUACCAACCCGAUGCAAACUGCGAAUACCGGAGAAUGUUAUCACGGGAGACACACGGCGGGUGCUAACGUCCGUCGUGAAGAGGGAAACAACCCAGACCGCCAGCUAAGGUCCCAAAGUCAUGGUUAAGUGGGAAACGAUGUGGGAAGGCCCAGACAGCCAGGAUGUUGGCUUAGAAGCAGCCAUCAUUUAAAGAAAGCGUAAUAGCUCACUGGUCGAGUCGGCCUGCGCGGAAGAUGUAACGGGGCUAAACCAUGCACCGAAGCUGCGGCAGCGACGCUUAUGCGUUGUUGGGUAGGGGAGCGUUCUGUAAGCCUGUGAAGGUGUACUGUGAGG